rnacentral:rRNA from 1 species
GUCCAUCCAGUGGUAACACUGGUGAAGACCUAGCGGCGAACGGGUGAGUAACACGUGAGAAACCUGCCCCGAAGACUGGGAUAACUCUCCGAAAGGAGAGCUAAUACCAGAUGCCCUCACCGGGCCGCAUGACUUGGUGAGGAAAUGGAUUCCGCUUCGGGAGGGUCUCGCGGCCUAUCAGCUUGUUGGUGAGGUAACGGCUCACCAAGGCUUCGACGGGUAGCUGGUCUGAGAGGAUGAUCAGCCACACUGGGACUGAGACACGGCCCAGACUCCUACGGGAGGCAGCAGUGGGGAAUCUUGCGCAAUGGGCGAAAGCCUGACGCAGCAACGCCGCGUGGGGGAUGAAGGCUCUCGGGUUGUAAACCCCUUUCAGCAGGGAAGAUUAUGACGGUACCUGCAGAAGAAGCCCCGGCCAACUACGUGCCAGCAGCCGCGGUAAUACGUAGGGGGCAAGCGUUGUCCGGAUUUAUUGGGCGUAAAGAGCUUGUAGGCGGCUUGGUAAGUCGAGUGUGAAAACUCCAGGCUCAACCUGGAGACGCCAUUCGAUACUGCCAUGGCUAGAGUCCGGUAGAGGAGCACGGAAUUCCUGGUGUAGCGGUGAAAUGCGCAGAUAUCAGGAGGAACACCAGCAGCGAAGGCGGUGCUCUGGGCCGGUACUGACGCUGAGAAGCGAAAGCGUGGGGAGCGAACAGGAUUAGAUACCCUGGUAGUCCACGCCGUAAACGUUGGGCACUAGGUGUGGGUCCCUAUCGACGGGAUCUGUGCCGUAGCUAACGCAUUAAGUGCCCCGCCUG